rnacentral:rRNA from 1 species
UACGUAGGGGGCAAGCGUUGUCCGGAAUUAUUGGGCGUAAAGAGCGUGUAGGCGGUUCAAUAAGUCUGCUGGGAAAGUCCAGGGCUCAACCCUGGAAUGCCGGUGGAUACUGUUGAACUAGAGUCCGGAAGAGGCGAGUGGAAUUCCUGGUGUAGCGGUGAAAUGCGCAGAUAUCAGGAGGAACACCAAUAGCGAAGGCAGCUCGCUGGGACGGUACUGACGCUGAGACGCGAAAGCGUGGGGAGCAAACAGG